rnacentral:rRNA from 1 species
UACGAAGGUCCCGAGCGUUGUUCGGAAUCACUGGGCGUAAAGGGAGCGUAGGCGGUAUGGUAAGUCAGAUGUGAAAUCCCGGGGCUCAACCCCGGAACUGCAUCCGAUACUGCCGUGCUAGAGGGUUGGAGAGGUAGCAGGAAUUCACGGUGUAGCAGUGAAAUGCGUAGAUAUCGUGAGGAAGACCAAUGGCGAAAGCAUGCUACUGGACAACACCUGACGCUGAGGCUCGAAGGCCAGGGGAGCGAAUGGG